UGGACAGGAUGGCCAUGUCCACAUAGCACAGGGGAGAGUCUGUGUUACACACAGUGAUGGCAGGCAGGUUAACAUAAGGGCCUCUGAGUGAGGCUGGUGGUCAGCUGUGGGAUCAGUAACCACUGGAAGCUUUGGCUCCUGGAAGGCUGCCAGGAUCCCGUUAGUGAAGGUUCCAGCAGUGAAGCAGCCAGCAAUAGGAGUGGCUCCAGUGGCAGCAGCAACCUUUAGCACAGCCUGCUGGCCAGUAUUCCUGGAGGAUAUGACACUGACAUCCUCCGGCUUUUCAAUGGGCAUAAUGGCAUGAGAAGCUUCUCCCAGGUUCUCUUGACAUUUAUGAGUUAGAUAGCAAACUGGAGAAUGACUCUAAUGGACCAUCUGGAAGGUGCUGCCUGUGGGCCAGUCAACUGCCGCCAAGGUAGUGGAUUGGGGUGGAAUGGAAAACACUUCUGCAUUCUGGGAGCAAGCGUUUCUAUUGUUACUGUCAAUUAAAGGAGAAGACCUGGUCUAGGUAACAGGUCCUGUUCUCACUUCAGAGAGUCUCCUGAGCGUUGGUUGCAGUGUUCCUCAUGUAAAG
rnacentral:lncRNA from 1 species